CCUACGGGGGGCAGCAGUGGGGAAUAUUGGGCAAUGGGCGCAAGCCUGACCCAGCAACGCCGCGUGAAGGAAGAAGGCUUUCGGGUUGUAAACUUCUUUUCUCAGGGACGAAGCAAGUGACGGUACCUGAGGAAUAAGCCACGGCUAACUACGUGCCAGCAGCCGCGGUAAUACGUAGGUGGCAAGCGUUAUCCGGAUUUACUGGGUGUAAAGGGCGUGUAGGCGGGAAAGCAAGUCAGAGGUGAAAACCAUGGGCUCAACCUGUGGCCUGCAUUUGAAACUGUUUUUCUUGAGUGCUGGAGAGGAAGACGGAAUUCCUAGUGUAGCGGUGAAAUGCGUAGAUAUUAGGAGGAACACCAGUGGCGAAGGCGGUCUGCUGGACAGCAACUGACGCUGAGGCGCGAAAGCGUGGGGAGCAAACAGGAUUAGAUACCCCAGUAGUC
rnacentral:rRNA from 1 species